AGUGAACGCUGGCGGUAGGCCUAACACAUGCAAGUCGAACGGCAGCACAGUAAGAGCUUGCUCUUACGGGUGGCGAGUGGCGGACGGGUGAGGAAUACAUCGGAAUCUACUUUUUCGUGGGGGAUAACGUCGGGAAACUUACGCUAAUACCGCAUACGACCUACGGGUGAAAGCAGGGGAUCUUCGGACCUUGCGCGAUUGAAUGAGCCGAUGUCGGAUUAGCUAGUUGGCGGGGUAAAGGCCCACCAAGGCGACGAUCCGUAGCUGGUCUGAGAGGAUGAUCAGCCACACUGGAACUGAGACACGGUCCAGACUCCUACGGGAGGCAGCAGUGGGGAAUAUUGGACGAUGGGCGCAAGCCUGAUCCAGCCAUACCGCGUGGGUGAAGAAGGCCUUCGGGUUGUAAAGCCCUUUUGUUGGGAAAGAAAAGCAGCAGGUUAAUACCCCGCUGUUCUGACGGUACCCAAAGAAUAAGCACCGGCUAACUUCGUG
rnacentral:rRNA from 1 species